UGUGCAAAAGCCUUCCGGCGCUUAGGGUUCGUCCAUGGCCGCUUGCUUGGAGGCGUGGGGCUGGUCCGCGAGGGAGAUGGACCAGUGAAGAAGGCGUUGGGGUUAUGGUGGGUGGCUAGCAGCGAGGGCGGGGGUGGCCGGCGAGCUGCGAGGCGGCGAGGGCGGGGGUGGCCGGCGACCUGCGAGGCGGCGAGGGCAGGGUGGCCGGUGAGCUGCGAGGCGGCGAGGGCAGGGUGGCGCUCCUUUGCUCCUCACUUUUUCACCGGCAGCAACGAGCGCCCGACCUCUUUGUCCGUGGACUUCUUUCCGGUCGUCGCCUGGGAUUGUCGCAUCAGGUGGCCGCCUUCCUCUUGCAUUCACCGAGCGAGCAAAAGCAGCGGUCAUGGGCGGGCGGUUGAGCAGGCGUGCGAGCAGCUGCAGGGCGCCAUGUGUGUGGCGGCUGAUGCGGGAAAUGGAGCAGGCGGAGGGAGGACGAGGAUUUGACGGCCGGCUGGAGGCCAUGGUGGACCCGUACAACGACGGAAGGGCUAUGGGCGAGCGGUUGAGAGGGGGCGCCAGAAACUGCAGGGCUACGGAAGGGAAGCUGCAAAGGAUGCAAGCACCAUUUUAUUCCACAACUUUAUUUAGUACGCAUCAAGCUUACCUGCAAAGGUCUGAAUCCAGUGGGCAUGGCUAUCGCCGUCGUCAGUUCUCCUUGUCUUUAGGUCAAAAGUUCGGCUCUGAAGAUUGAUUACAAUUUGAUUAUUUCCCUAUUUUUCGUAUUUGAUUGCAUGAUAUAUAUAUAUGUGCGAUGACAUGAAGAUUAAAUCCUUUAGUGGCAUAUGAGUGUAUUAAAAGGAUCGAGAAUUGGAUCAGCCUAACUGAUACUGAGAGUGACACCAUUGUGGAAGAUGACCCGAUGUGGUUGUUAUUUUUUUUUCCUUGAAUGAUUCAUAUAGGCUGCCAUGUGAGAGCUGAUUCAUGUGGUGUCUAGCUAGCCAGCAUAGAACAAUUCUAUUAGAAUGUUGUAAAAAUAGAUAAGGUGGUAAUUAAAUUUGGACCUAAUGAUAUUUUCUUAUUUCAUUUUGAAUAUCCAAACAAGUUGUUUUCAUAUGAAACCCAUUGACAUGCUAGCCCAGUGCAGGAGUAAUACCACACACCAAAUUUUUUUUUCUGAUUUAUGAUUUACUAUAUAUUACAUCUCUAGACACUCCAUGUAGGCAUCUUGUUUUCUUAUUCUUUUGUUUUACGAUAAGCUGGUGGAUUGUAUACGCCGAACCAUUUGUGUAUGAAAAUGCAGAGUUGCUUUCAAGAUACUCGACUAGGAUCUCUAAUGAGGUGCAGCCUUUCCUCUCUGCCUGAUCAUGUAUUUUGCAUUUAUGUUUGUUGCCAGUUUGUCCCUUGCUUGAGGCUUUACUACUGCAAUGUCUCUUUUACUUAUCUACAGUUCGUGUCUGCCCGCUGCUCUCUCUCCAAAAUCUCGCUCCACUGCGCCGUGGUACAAUAGGAGACCGGCGGCGGGGAUGACCACCCAGGGAAGCGAGAGACUGAUGCAAGACGCAUGAUAGGUUGUGUUCUUUUCUUCUUUGUCAACUGAUAAUUCCUCCGGAUAAUUAUGCACUCUUCAUUUAAUGCUUGCUUAUCAUCGAUGUUUACAAAUGUGUACAAAAUAAAUUUUUGCAUGAACUCCACGGGAUCGUGCGCCAAGGAACCGUGUGGCAGCUGUGCCGGUGGCAAGCGCCCGAGUGAUGUUGGCGGCUGGACGCAGCAGCGGUGGCCUCCGCAAGUGCCGGGAAAUGGCUUGACAAGGUGAUGUGCUUCACUGGUCGCUGGCUUGUUGCUCUUCCUAGCCAUAAGUUAAUCCCAUGAUCAUGUAUGAAAAUUCAGAGGUUGAUGUAGAGAAUUUUCUUGCUGAAAAAUGCUCAGUCUAUUAUAUCUUGAGAAGCAACAUUAUUCAUUGCCUCCAAAUGAUGUCCUAUAGCGUCUCUAUUCCCUUACUCAGGGAGGUACAUGGGAAACACUCACUUCGCUGCUGCUCUGCCUCUGCAUCCUCUUCGACGUUCAAUAUGAGGAUCAUGUGAUAUCUGCUUCCACAUUGAGCCAGGGUGAGCAAGUGCCUGCCACUUUCUUCCACUACUCUCUUGUGAUUUAAUACCGACAUAUGAGUUUCAUGUGCAAGUUAUAUUAGCUAUAUCCAUAUCAUGGCAUAAUUACUUGCUAAUCCAAGAUUUACAGUUUUUUGAUUUUAUACGAGGUUGAGAAGAUAUGUAACAUGUAUUGAGGUAUGCAUGAUCCUUUUACAUUCAUUCUUCUACUUUGAUUUGGUGUAUGACCUUUCUUCGAGCAUGGUGGCAUUGUUGUCGCCUAACAGAGUGGUUGAAUGUGUAUCUAGGCGACCGUAUUUGUUUCUACAGGUAAAGAUGAUCCAAAUUAAAUGGAGUAUUCAAGCACAAAAAGUAAAAUAAAUACUGCACAAAACCAUUGAUCUCACUCGGUAGUGUUUCUAAUCUUGAUCUCUCUUGUGUAUGACCCUUUCUUGGCGUCGUUCUUUCAUAUAAAAUAAACUUGAAACUUUUGUCAUUCAAGGUGAUUUUUGAAAGAAAUCUUCCUCAUGAUAUACCCUGAAUUGGUCCUGAAUUAGACUUAUUUUGUUUGUAACUCCAGUAAUCUUCAUUUAGCACCUUUCUGUACUUGCAUGAGGAUUGCUAUAAAUUUUCGGGGAAGCAUAACAUAUACAAAAUGUUUUUGUAAACCUGCGAGCUGGGAGAUGUGAAGAACAGAAAAUGUCAAUCCAAGAAGGGUUAUCCUCCCAAUUACUUUUCUGAUACACGAAGUUACCAGCGGUGAUUUCAUUUCCUAUUUGUGUCGGUAGUCAACUGAGGUUACUAGGGUUCUAAUCAGUGUUCUUUCUUAAUUAUGAUUGCAGUUAAAGGAAGCCCACUCAGGUUAUUGAUAGGAGAGAGGAAAAUACGCAAACAUCUAUCUUUUCAUUUCAAAUAGAACCGCAGAAACACUAUACAUCAGAUGAUUGUCCAGUUACGACUCCAGAUGGUCUAGAUUUCUUUAAAUCAAGGAAGCUGUAGAUGGCUUCUAAAAUUUAAGAUGCAGAUGUUGGAUUUCUGUAAACCAAGGUUAGUGAUGGCAUGGCUUCAGUUUCAGCUCUGGUAUAUGUUUCAUUGUCGUGACAACUAAGUGGUUCUAGCAAAUUUUUUAGAGAAAGAACAUGCAGAAAACAUUUUCUCACAUUUUCGUUGAGGUAAAUCACAAAUGGAUACAUGAUUACGUGACAAAGCACACACAGUUCACUCAUCUGAGGAAGCUUGAUGGCCUUCCCUUGUUCUGUUCUAAUGAGCCGCUUUAUGGUUUCUCAGUUUGAACACAAUACUUUGUUAGAAAAGGUAAUGGAUGGUUUUUACUAAACCAGUUGCAUUAUAGCUCUCACAUUAGGACUAAAAUAUUUCAUGAAUUUUUUAUUAACUGUUCAGUGGCUAACCCUGUGUUUCUAAGUUUGAAAUUGAGUUAUAACAUACUCUUGUUUUUGUGACUAUUAAAGUGAAAUAGUAGAGGCACUAGAUCAUUUGCUUUGAGGUUGUGAUGGUUUGUUGAAGAACAUUUUCUUUGUACUCUUUGUUUUCUCAAAAAAAAAUUAAGCCAUAUAAGUACUGAGGUGAAAUUUGUUGCUUGCAGAGCUUAUAUAGUGGUAGACCCAUGUCACUUGAAUUGAUAUUGGUGGAUACAGAUAUAGCUGGCCCAAUUCACCAUUCCUUUUGUCGUACUUCAGGAUGUAACCUUAUUUUGACUUAUAUUGAAUCGUUAGUUUCAAACGAGAGCAAGGUACAUAAAGCCAUAAAGGAGCUCAAGAUGUUCUUAUUCACAUGAAGUUAAUAUUUAUUCCAUUCAGAUUCUUCCUUUUACCUGUUUUUGAUCAUGGACUAGGUCCUCUUUGACAAUGAGUUAAUCUUGGAAUCCAUGUUUACAUAUUGGAUAGUCUAUUGCCAUUUUUUUCAUUCCUUUAAUUAGGUUUCAUGAAUGCGAGGCAUAGACAACAAAUAGUUGAUUCGCAUAACAUAGUAAAACUAAGAACACUGUCAUGUUUAGAGGAAAGGCUACUUGUCUUUUUUUAUCAUCUACAUGUAUUCAUUUUUGUUCGUCACAUAUCUUUUGGUACUAUGCAGUACAGUGAUUAAAUAGACAUGGAUGUGGGUGAUAGUUUCAGCGAUGUAGGAGCUAGGCCGGUCACCGUCGUCUCCCAAGACACCACUCACACCUUGCCACCGCAAUCUCCUGCUUAACCACGAGGUCAUGCCCGAAGAUUUUCGCUAAGGCCCUACCUUGCUGAACUAUGCCGAUGUCACGCGGCCACUUAUUUUUGGGUUGCCCUUGCCCUGCUCUGUCUGAUGUAGUGAUGGUUUAAGCCAUGGCUGCAUGCUUCUCUACAAGGGAUAUAUACGGUGAACAUGUCCAGAGUGUUCUUACACUUUUCAUAGUUAACUUCUUUAGCAACAACUUUUUUUAUAUACCUCUGUAAAAUGGUGAUUUGGAGCUUAUUUCAAAUAAUGAAUAUUGAAAACUUUGUUCAGGACAUGAAAUAUUUGGAAAAAUCUAUACCAUAGUUCUAAGAGUUUACUCUACAGGCCUGUUUUUCCCAUCUAUAUUUGGAAAAAUAUAUAUUUGUGAAGUAUCGGGCUUAAGCCGGCAUCUCCAUCACUACUAUAUUUGGGAACAAUCACAAGAUACAGUUGGCUGAUGAUUAUAUAUUUAUAUUUUUCCUCUCUGAUUUGGAUACAUCUAGAUAAGUUUACUACCUUUAUUCUCAGGCUAACCAUGCUUUCUAUCAAUGAAAUUUCCAGAGAUUGCUUCCUUUCAUGGAUGAUGUCCUCGAGAAAAUUUACUAUUGCACCGCACACGUUGAAGAGUUACCUGUCCAGGUCCUGCUUGCUGGCAUCUCCGGCUAUCGCCGGAGCUUUGGCGGUCUCAUCACCACAUGUUUUACUUGCUACAGUUUGUGCUAGCUUUUCUCAUUUUUAUUUAUGUGUAUACAUAUUAAUAUUUGCUCAAGAGGAACUUGUAGAACUCCGCUCUCUCUUGUUAGUAGCUUGCAACAUCAAUAAUCUGAAUUUUCAGCCAUACUAUUUUAUCUCAUGAUGUUGCAUGUUUUAGAUUCAGGAAAACAAGUUGACUGUGUUUUAGUUUUUUUGAGAGGUCGAUCAAAACGUUAGUGUGUAUAUCAGGUGAGCUUCUGAGAGAGAUCAAAACGUUAGCGCGUAUACUAGGUGAAGUUUAUUACAACAUAAGUGCAUUGCACAUAGCGCAACUGUCCUCUUACUUCAUAGAUUGGGUAUGUAUUCCAAUUUAUUGAGCAGGUAUUAGGUGGAUUCUAUCUGUACAUAUGUAAAAGAAACCAUCAGUUGUACUUAUUGUUUGUUAAAUUUUUCUUCAUGGCUGUAAGAUUUUUUUUUUGCCCAUGGUGUUGCUUGGGACUUUGGGUGCUCAGAGCAGCCCGUUCACUUGAGUCUUGCAUAAUAAAGUGUAUACUAGGUCAGAUGCUAACUAAGUAAAUGCGCCAUCAUAACUUGUGGUGUCUAUAUAUGUUUUGGGUUUGCAAUUUAUGAAGUUCCAGGGGUUACACAUGACUUGUAAUAGAACACCAAAUACUCAGGUUCAUAUGCAACUUUAUUUCGGCAAAAGGCUGAUUCAUUUA